rfam:TPA: Bos taurus chromosome 3, whole genome shotgun sequence.
UCCCUGGUAGCUCAGACGGUAAAGCGUCUGCCUACCAUGUGGGAGACCCGGGUUUGAUUCCUGGGUUGGGAA